CUCGCACACCGUCCAGGGCUCUGCGCCUCCGCCCCGGGUCGGCUCCUCCAAGAGUCGUUUGUUUUUUCUCUUUUUAUUGCAAAAGGAGCUUGAAGCUCCAUGUGGCCCGGAUCCCUUGAGCAUCGGGGUCCCAGGCACAAGUGACGGGCGCCUCGACCCCUGGGGGAAAGAGGGACCUUAGGCGCCAAGAGCGUUAUUUCUGGGGAGGAAGGGUCCCCGGUACCCUGAGGAUGUCCUCGCCGCAGAAGAGCUCUCACAGCGGCUCCCGUGGGGCCUGGGAGGCCUCUCUGAGGGGGAGCAGAGCUGAGGUCUAACAUGAGCCCUAGCCGCCCACAUGGGGCGGACGCGCGGACAGGAGGGGCGCUCCUGAUGGAUUCUUUACCACUAAGCCACCUGGGAAGCCCAACAAAGUGUGAAAGAAAUAGAAU
ensembl:lncRNA